rnacentral:misc_RNA from 1 species
AAGUCGUAACAAGGUCUCCGUUGGUGAACCAGCGGAGGGAUCAUUACAGAGUUGCAAAACUCCCCAAAACCAUUGUGAACCUUACCUUCAACCGUUGCUUCGGCGGGCGGGCCACAGCGCCCCCCGGGCCCCCCCAGCGGGGCGCCCGCCGGAGGAUACCCAAACUCUUGAUACUUUAUGGCCUCUCUGAGUCUUCUGUACUGAAUAAGUCAAAACUUUCAACAACGGAUCUCUUGGCUCUG